UACGGAGGGUGCAAGCGUUAAUCGGAAUUACUGGGCGUAAAGCGCACGCAGGUGGCUGAGUCAGUCGAUUGUGAAAGCCCUGGGCUUAACCUGGGAAUUGCAGUCGAUACUACUCAGCUAGAGUAUGGGAGAGGGUAGUGGAAUUCCCGGUGUAGCGGUGAAAUGCGCAGAGAUCGGGAGGAACACCCGUAGCGAAGGCGGCGCUCUGGGCCGGUACUGACGCUGAGGAGCGAAAGCGUGGGGAGCAAACAGG
rnacentral:rRNA from 1 species